rnacentral:tRNA from 1 species
GGGGAUUUAGCACAAUGGCACUGCGCCUGCCUCACAAGCGCAAGGUCCUGAGUUCGAUUCCCAGUUACCCCC